rnacentral:rRNA from 1 species
AGAGUUUGAUCAUGGCUCAGGACGAACGCUGGCGGCGCGCCUAACACAUGCAAGUCGAACGGAGCUAUGUUGAAAGCUUGCUGGAUAUAUAGCUUAGUGGCGGACGGGUGAGUAACACGUGAGCAACCUGCCUUUCAGAGUGGAAUAACGUUUGGAAACGAACGCUAAUACCGCAUAACGUCAGAGGACGGCAUCGUUCUUUGACCAAAGAUUUAUCGCUGAAAGAUGGGCUCGCGGCCGAUUAGGUAGUUGGUGAGAUAAUAGCCCACCAAGCCGACGAUCGGUAGCCGGACUGAGAGGUUGAACGGCCACAUUGGGACUGAGACACGGCCCAGACUCCUACGGGAGGCAGCAG